UCACGACACAAAUGUCUUAUUUACAACAAUUCACUUUUGUUAGCCCUGUCUUAUUUGAUAAAUAAGACAAUUUAUUAAGCUUUCUGGUAAAUUAAAGUGAAAUUAUUAGAGAGUACAAAUAUACAUUUUUGAUGCAUGCAUAUACAUUAAUAUGUAGUAUUUUUGGGUGCGAUGGAAGCCAGGGGAAAGAGGGGAGGGGUAAGAUUUGUAGCAUAAUAAAGCACUAUAAUGAAAUCAUGAUAUACUGGUACUGUAAAAAUAGUCAUGUAAAUUUCAUUACCACAGUACUAUAUUAGCUUUCUGGAAUUGCUUCAAAAUUGUACGAAGUACCACUGCAGAGAUCAAAAUAAGGCAGAAUUUGAAAAUUAUGAAUGUAAUCAGCUUUUAUGAAUUUUAUUUCUCAUUUCUUGACCAUGAUGUAUUUGUGUCAUGGAAAGAAAUAAAUGAAGGUCAAUUAUUUUAAGCAGUGAAAGAAAAAUAUAAAUAUGGAUUAAGAAAGGCCUUAUUUGUGUUUUAUGAAAUAUUAAUUCUAAGUGGGAUUUUUGUCUUUGAAACGUAAACAUGUAUGGAUAAUAUAAUAUGAAGACAGGGAAGUGUAGACAUACUGGCAAAUUAAAUGUUAUCAGAGUGUAACCAACAACCAAUUAAUUUCACAUAUGGCAGAAUUGAAAAGCUUUCAGUUGAUGUUGGAGCUUUAAUACUAAUAUAUACAUGUAACUUCUACAAACUUUUGUUACUACAUGUAUCAUAACGCUGUAAUUUGUGUGAAUUACUACAUCCAUUGGGUGAUAGAUAUUUGAUUAUUUUUAUGUCCAUAUUACUUGGUUUUCAUUUAAUGUCAUUAUGCUAUGAGUUUUGAUUGUGUGCAUAUAGCUAGAUAGGAAUCAAGUGUAAUUAAUUAACAAUUUGAAAUUCCUGAGGAAUAUGCAUGUAAUGCUAUUUUUGAUGAAUGUAAAUAUAUGGUUUAUUUUGUUACAUAUUUUGUGUUUGUAUAGUUUAUAUAAGGGCUGGUACCAACUGCAAUUUUUCAAGAAAAAAAAAAUCAAUUUUAUUUUAUUGCAUCAGAAAUCAAACAGCAUUAAAGACUAUAAUCAUGUUUUCGAUAAUUUAUGUAUUGAAAUUAUUGCUCAUGUACAUGUAGAUUUUUUUUUGUCGGAAUUUCAGUGUAUGCAAGGAUGCACUUUGAUCCUAAUGCUUUCUGCUUUUUAAGUUAUUCUUGUCUGUAGUGUGCUUGUCAUGUCAUCUUCAGUUCGACUGUUUUAUUUCUGUGAUAAUUGUUAUUUUGUAAACUUAUUUGUAUACUCAGUGCUUUUAAUUUUCACACCUCCUUUUAACUAUGAAGCUUUGUUUAAUUUUUAUUUUGUUAAAACAUCAGAGUCUGAUGGAUAUUUUUGUUUUGUUUUGAUUAAUACGAUUUACAUGUAAGUCUACAAUGUGCGUGUACAUGUAAAUCUGAUUUAGGUCUGUGAAAAGUUUCCUAAAAAUGUGUACAUGUAUCUUUGAAAGACUUUGACAGAAUUAAACUAAUUUGUGUUCUUCAUUAUAUCUAGGAAAUCAAAACAUUGAAAGAAUUCAGCUGGUUCAUGUUCAUCAUUGUAUCUGGAAAAUUAAACUUCAUGUUCAUAAAUCACUUUAAUUAUCCCUUAGUCUAAUUUUCCAGGGUAUUGAUGGUUUUCACAUUUGUAUAGUAUUUUGAUCCCAUAGAUUAUAAGUAUUACAUGUUAAACUCAAUGGUUAAAACUUAUCUUCUCAAUUAUGGUAAAAGAUCUAGCCUAUAUUUUUUUCUACAAGUUUUGCCCCUUGUAUUGGAUACAUACAUUUAUCCAUUUAUUUUUUGACCACAAGUUUAUGAGUCACAAAAAAAGCUUACUUGCAAAAUCAUGAACAAAAAAUUUGUUUUGUAAAAAACGUUUAAAUUAAAUGUAAAGUGCAUGUGUCGUACAAAUACCUAACUUUUAUCUGGUUGUGAUCUACUAGUCAUUUGCAUUUAUAACCUGAUACUAAUUAAUGUCUUCUCAUAGGAAGUAAUUUAUAUUCAUUCUUUUAUACCUUCAAUUUCUUCUCAAUUUGAAUCAAAUUUUGUUUAUCAUUUAAGCUUAGAAGACUUCAAUAUUCCCAACAGUAGAUUUGCCGAGUGUCUUCCAUCUUUUAGUAAGACUAAUCUUGCCCACCAGUAAUUUUACGUCCAUAGAGGAUGAUAAAGUACAUGUAUUUGCAAUGUGAUUUGAUUGCAUGUGAUGAAUAUAUUAGAUAUAAUUAUUAAGAUUAAAACUAUGUGUAAAAUUAACAGCUGAGAAGAAUUUUCUUUUUGUAGUUGGUACAAAUUGAAUAUUUGACAUUUGACCCUGAAAUCAUAUACCAUGAUCAUAUUCAAGAAGAAAAUAUACUCUUGUCAAUAUUUACUCGUGAGGUGGUGGACAUUUUGCCAUAAAAUCUUUAUGACCUUUUCAGCAAAUGAAAGAAUGUUGCAAAAUUAUGUGCAAAUAGUUAUUUUCUUAAAGUAAUAUGUUAGUUUCUUGAUUUUUUGUCAAUAUUAAUGUCUAAUGGACAAUGAUUGAAAACAUUUUUACUAGACCAUUUCUUGUACAGGUUUAAAAUGUCUGUGUUUAACCUCAAUAUACUCAUUGUGAUCAUUUCAUUUUAUUACAUACAUGUAUAUAAACACAGAUGUACAAGGUAACAACAAGUUUAUUUUCAUCAUUUAUAUUGUGAAUUUUGGGAAGAUGAACUAACUGGAUUAAAAUGGAACAUCAAUAUAAUAGUGUGUGUGAGAAUGCAAGACUGUUAACUUUUUAAUUUGGAAAAACAGUCACAAGAAGAUAUAACUUUAAUUUCAUUCUUUAAUGUUUUUAUUUACAUUUUUCAUGUGCAAGUAUGUGAUAUAAAAAAGAUGCAAAAAUUACA